UACGUAGGGUGCAAGCGUUGUCCGGAAUUAUUGGGCGUAAAGAGCUUGUAGGCGGUUUGUCGCGUCUGCUGUGAAAUUUCGGGGCUCAACCCCGAACUUGCAGUGGGUACGGGCAGACUAGAGUGUGGUAGGGGAGACUGGAAUUCCUGGUGUAGCGGUGAAAUGCGCAGAUAUCAGGAGGAACACCGAUGGCGAAGGCAGGUCUCUGGGCCUUACCUGACGCUCAGGCGCGAAAGCUAGGGGAGCGAACAGG
rnacentral:rRNA from 1 species